GGAGUGAGGAGAGAGAACGUGUUUGCUCAGGAGCACCUCUGUCCACGGUUUCUGCCGCCUCUGUGCCCCUUAUUUGAUGCCACAGGUUUCGGUGACAGAAAGCUGUGCUCAGGGGACAUUGAAUAAACUCUAGCACUACUUCUAAUCUGAAAGGCAACAGUGGGAUGGGCUCCAGCAUCCUGGAAAGGCAAGUCGUAUUCAGUACAAAUCCACUGUGGGAAAGGCUGACACAAACACUUUGCGUUCCGGGAGAGUCCUUCUAAGGCACUCAGCAGAGAGGGCAGGUGUGUGCGCACACACUCACACACACACACACACACACGGGCAGGUUCACACACACAGACACAGAGGCAGGUCCACACACAGACACAGAGGCAGGUCCACACACACACACACACACACGGGCAG